UACGGGGGGGGCGAGCGUUGUUCGGAAUUACUGGGCGUAAAGGGUUUGUAGGUGGCCAACUAAGUCACACGUGAAAUCCCUCGGCUUAACCGGGGAACUGCGUGUGAUACUGGAUGGCUUGAGUUUGGGAGAGGGAUGCGGAAUUCCAGGUGUAGCGGUGAAAUGCGUAGAUAUCUGGAGGAACACCGGUGGCGAAGGCGGCAUCCUGGACCAAUACUGACGCUGAGGAGCGAAAGCCAGGGGAGCAAACGGG
rnacentral:rRNA from 1 species